GCCCCACUGGUGAAACUGGCAUACACGCUGCAUUUGGACUGCAGUGGCAAGCGUGCUUGCCGUCCCGGUUCGAGUCCGGGGUGGGGCA
rnacentral:tRNA from 1 species